UCAGGGAAACAUGCGAUCGCUGGCUCGCACGCCUCGGCGUGUGCGCGAGAGGAAAGUCCGAGCUCCGCAGGGCGAGGUGCCGGGUAACGCCCGGUGAGGGUGACCUCGAGGAGAGUGCAACAGAAAGCAAACCGCCGGCGCACCGCGAGGUCAGCCGGUAAGGGUGAAAAGGUGGAGUAAGAGCCCACCGCGCUCCCGGUAACGGGAGUGGCUAGGUAAACCCCACCUGGAGCAAGGCCAUGUAGGGAGGCGAUGCGCGGGGAAACCCGCGUGGAAGGGUUGCCCGCCCGAGCCUCCGGGUAGGCUGCUGGAGGCGCGCGGUAACGUGCGUCCUAGAGGAAUGAUCGCGCUCGAGGCAGGGGUGACCCGGCCUCGAGACAGAACUCGGCUUAUGGAGACCUGAGGCC
rnacentral:RNase_P_RNA from 1 species